GGGACAGGGCGCAGCCUGAUCAGCAUACCGCGUGUGUGAGAAGGCCUUCGGGUUGUAAAGCACUUUCAGCGAGGAGGAAGGCCAAGUAGUUAAUACCUGCUUGGAUUGACGUUACUCGCAGAAGAAGCACCGGCUAACUCCGUGCCAGCAGCCGCGGUAAUACGGAGGGUGCAAGCGUUAAUCGGAAUUACUGGGCGUAAAGCGCGCGUAGGCGGAUGAUUAAGUCAGAUGUGAAAGCCCAGGGCUUAACCUUGGAACUGCAUUUGAUACUGGUCAUCUAGAGUACAGAAGAGGGGGGUGGAAUUCCAGGUGUAGCGGUGAAAUGCGUAGAGAUCUGGAGGAACAUCAGUGGCGAAGGCGACCCCCUGGGCUGAUACUGACGCUGAGGUGCGAAAGCGUGGGUAGCGAACAGGAUUAGAUACCCUGGUAGUCCACGCCGUAAACGAUGUCUAUUAGCUGUUGGGUAUAUUAAGAUACUUAGUGGCGCAGCUAACGCGAUAAAUAGACCGCCUGGGGAGUACGGCCGCAAGGUUAAAACUCAAAGGAACUUGACGGAAUC
rnacentral:rRNA from 1 species